CCAUUAUUCAAGCUUGAAGAAUUUGUGAAUUACAUCCAAGUAUUUAUAGGCAAUCAGCCCAACUACUUAAACUGUCUAGACAAUCAGCCCAACUACCUAAAUGUCUAAUUAUCUAACCAACCAACUAAUUUAACCGUCUAACAAACUAAUAUUUAACAGAAAUUGAAACUUGAGUUGGAGCCGAGCUAUUAACUGGUUUCUGUUGGUUCAAUUUUGCUGCGUCGUAAGAGCCCCCCUCAAGUGGGGCAUUGAUAUUCAAAAUGCCUAACUUGGAUAUAUUAGAAUGAAACUAUACAGAGCCAAGGGGCUUAGUAAGAACAUCUGCAACUUGAUGAUGAGAAAGAACAUGGAUAAUCUUGAUUAGAUCAGAAUGCACUUUCUCCCAAACGAGGUGACAGUUAAUUUGAAUGGGCUUAGUUUUCUCAUAUAGGACGGGAUUGGUGGCAAGAGAUAGAGCAGAUUUACUAUCAGUAUAUAAGAGGGCAAGAUGAGGAUGAGCAAUAGCCAAAUCAGGUAGAAGAUAAAUUGCCACUGGAUCUCACAGGUUGUAGAUGCCAAAGCUCUAUAUUCAGCUUCAGCUGAAGAUCUACUUACGGUGGAUUGCUUCUUUGAUCUCCAAGAAAUUGAGGAGUCCCCAAGAAAAAUGGCAAAACUAGUAAUGCUUCGCCUUAUGUCAAGGCAGUCAGCCCAAUCACUGUCGCUAUAUGCUUUCAAGUGGAAGACAGAUUUGGAGGAAAAGAACAAUCCCUGACUAGGUGUAGCCUUCGUGUUGUUGGAAUGCGGAAGCAGAAUUAAUCAGAAAUUAAAAUUUCUUUAAUUCAUAAACAAGAUCGUUUAGAUGUUCACGUGUAUGUUAUAACAAGAAUUAAAGGAUUUGAAUAUUUUACCCAAAUUCGAUGAUCCACCUUUGAAUUGAUUCUGAACCACGAACUUCCGUCUCUUUCAAUUGCAAGAAUCUUGGUGCUUCAAACCUUCAAGCCUUCUAUGGUAUUCUCCAACGGAAAAACUACACCGGCGUGUGGGCACCUUCUUUUAAUUAAUCAAGAAACUAAUUCUUGAAAUUGGAAAUCAAGAAAUAAAAUAUUUCUCUCUCUAAAUUUGAAUUCUA
rnacentral:lncRNA from 1 species